UACCCGAUAAAGCUGUCGGUACGCCGACAAAUGUCAGACCUUAUAAAAGAAAGAAAAGGCUACUGUAAGAACAUGGAUGAGAUAUUUGUAGAAUGUAUAAAAAUAUUUCAUGUAUAGAAUAUGAACUAAAAGUAUGAUCACUGCGAUUAUGUGAUGACAUGAUUAGACUAUGUGCUGACUGUAAUAGACAGUACUAUGUGUUAUGAUAUAUUGUUCUAAUCGAACGAAUGAUCUGAUUAUUGAUAGGUUGUGAUAAAGAGAUAUAACCUAAGUUGAGAUUUGUAAUCAGCAAAUCAGGCAAGUAUCUUACCUUUGCAUUUUCUUUAUGCAAUGGACAUGAGUAAGAAGUUUCAGGAUUCUUCUAUUCCUGUACAGAUUAUGUACGCUUUGAUUAUCAACAUGUUAGCUCAGAUAUAUAUUCUGUUAAGUUUAUUUAUAAAUGGUUAUACAAGUGUCCCCACUUGGAUAAUCAUGGCAUUUAUUCACAUGUUGAUACACUUUUUCAAUUACCUCGUAUACAUAUAUGUUGAAUUACAUAUUAUUGUUGAGCAAGAUUAAAAACCUUCGGGUUUGGAACCAGGCAUGUAUGAACAUCCCGAUAAUGGGAAAAUUUUUAUGCGCUUCGGCGGACAAAGGGUGAGCGAUGAAUUUCGUUCAAGUUAUGUAGUAUUGAUCAAUACAGGGUACAACGGGGCUGAUCACCCUCCGUGCCCGUAAGUUAUGACGGUUUGCGGAUGAAUUUCUGCUAAACCUUUUCG
rnacentral:lncRNA from 1 species